AAAGGAGUAGGUCCGGUAAGGACCGAUUUUGGCCUCAAAUUUCAGUUUCAUCUGACGAAAGAUUUUGACCACUUUUUAAACACUUAAGUGUCUAUUUCAUAUGAUGCAAUUAAUUUAUGUGAAAGAUUUUAACUUAUUUAGUCAUUAAAAACGAUCCGAUUCUGGCUCAAAUAUGAGAAAUCUACCAAAUAUGCGAAAAAUGUCACUUUUC
rnacentral:lncRNA from 1 species